ACAGGCAAGAAAGGCAUUAAGAGCAUUAAUAGGAUUAGUAAAAUUACAAGGAUUGGUUAGGGGUUAUUUGGCAAAAAAGGCAUUAAGAGCAUUAAAAGGAUUAGUAAAAUUACAAGCAUUGGUUAGGGGUUAUUUGG